rnacentral:rRNA from 1 species
CUACGUAGGGUGCGAGCGUUGUCCGGAAUUACUGGGCGUAAAGAGCUCGUAGGUGGUUUGUCGCGUCGUCUGUGAAAUUCCGGGGCUUAACUCCGGGCGUGCAGGCGAUACGGGCAUAACUUGAGUACUGUAGGGGAGACUGGAAUUCCUGGUGUAGGGGUGAAAUGCGCAGAUAUCAGGAGGAAAACCGGGGGCGAAGGGGGGUCUCUGGGCAGUAACUGACGCUGAGGAGCGAAAGCAUGGGUAGCGAACAGGAUUAGAUACCCUGGUAGUCCAUGCCGUAAACGGUGGGCGCUAGGUGUAGGGGUCUUCCACGACUUCUGUGCCGUAGCUAACGCAUUAAGCGCCCCGCCUGGGGAGUACGGCCGCAAGGCUAAAACUUAAAGGAAUUGACGGGG